rnacentral:rRNA from 1 species
AUACGGAGGGGGCGAGUGUUGUUCGGAUUUACUGGGCGUAAAGGGCGCGUAGGCGGCUGCACAUGUCAGGGGUGAAAGGCCUGGGCUCAACCUGGGAAUUGCCUUUGAAACUGUGCGGCUCGAGUCCGAGAGAGGAUGGCGGAAUUCCCAGUGUAGAGGUGAAAUUCGUAGAUAUUGGGAAGAACACCGGUGGCGAAGGCGGCCAUCUGGCUCGGCACUGACGCUGAGGUGCGAAAGCGUGGGUAGCAAACAGGAUUAGAAACCCCAGUAGUCC